ensembl:ncRNA cTel79B.1 ncRNA
UUAGGCUUAGGCUUAGGCUUAGGCUUAGGCUUAGGCUUAGGCUUAGGCUUAGGCUUAGGCUUAGGCUUAGGCUUAGGCUUAGGCUUAGGCUUAGGCUUAGGCUUAGGCUUAGG